rnacentral:rRNA from 1 species
GAUGAACGCUGGCGGCGUGCCUAAUACAUGCAAGUCGAGCGAACAGAUGAGGAGCUUGCUCCUCUGACGUUAGCGGCGGACGGGUGAGUAACACGUGGAUAACCUACCUAUAAGACUGGGAUAACUUCGGGAAACCGGAGCUAAUACCGGAUAAUAUAUUGAACCGCAUGGUUCAAUAGUGAAAGACGGUUUUGCUGUCACUUAUAGAUGGAUCCGCGCCGCAUUAGCUAGUUGGUAAGGUAACGGCUUACCAAGGCAACGAUGCGUAGCCGACCUGAGAGGGUGAUCGGCCACACUGGAACUGAGACACGGUCCAGACUCCUACGGGAGGCAGCAGUAGGGAAUCUUCCGCAAUGGGCGAAAGCCUGACGGAGCAACGCCGCGUGAGUGAUGAAGGUCUUCAGAUCGUAAAACUCUGUUAUUAGGGAAGAACAAAUGUGUAAGUAACUAUGCACGUCUUGACGGUACCUAAUCAGAAAGCCACGGCUAACUACGU